GAUGAAUGCUGGCGGCGUGCCUAACACAUGCAAGUCGGGCGGCAGCGCGGGUAGUUUACUACCUGGCGGCGAGCGGCGGACGGCUGAGUAACGCGUGGGAACGUACCCCAAAGUGAGGAAUAACUGCCCGAAAGGGUGGCUAAUGCCGCAUAUGGUCUUCGGAUUAAAGGAUUUAUCCGCUUUGGGAGUGGCCUGCGUAUGAUUAGAUAGUUGGUGAGGUAAUGGCUCACCAAGUCAACGAUCAUUAACUGGUCUGAGAGGAUGAUCAGUCAGACUGGAACUGAGAUACGGUCCAGACUCCUACGGGAGGCAGCAGUUAGGAAUCUUGCGCAAUGGGCGAAAGCCUGACGCAGCGACGCCGCGUGCGGGAUGAAGGCCUUCGGGUUGUAAACCGCUUUCAGCAGGGACGAAAUUGACGGUACCUGCAGAAGAAGCCCCGGCCAACUACGUGCCAGCCGCCGCCGUAA
rnacentral:rRNA from 1 species